ACUAAGAGCACUUGUUGGAAUUUGUUUUAAGCGCCUUUUAACACAGAUUAUUUUGUAAAUUCCCUUAAAGUGCUAGGAAUACCAGUCCUUGCAAGUUCAUCUUGGAGAUUUUCAGACAACCCCAAUCUAUAUUGGUAUCUUAAAGCUGCUUCAUUCCAUGAAGUAUCUGCAGCUAAUCUACAAAAAUGAUAAACAUAUUCU